UUCCGGCACGCUUGCCUUAGCUUCCUCUGGAACUGGCUUUCUCUCUUAUCAGUUAACCUGCAUUCUAACUCUUUUUGCUCUCUCGAUCCCGUUUGGACGCUAAUUUAAGACCAGCUCAAGCACACCAGUCCAAGAGAGUGAAGAAGGGUUCAACAGAGAUCGCAUCUAUACUUAUCGGCGAUGUAGCUUCAGUCGCAUAGCUUCAGAGAUAAAGCCUCUCCUCCGCUCGUCCUCCGCCACCGUCGCCCGUUCCAUCCGCUCCCCGCAUCGUCGGGCCCUCUCCUCAGCUGUCCGGGUGUUCGACGAAAUGCCGGAGAGGGAACCUGACUGAGCUGUGCUUCAUUUCUUUCUUUCCGGUCGCCGAUCCAUUCCCAGCUUCGCCGUUAUACUUCUCAGCAGUUCCAGCUUCGACCAUCUCCAUCCAGCGAAUCUCCAUCUUAGACUCUUCACGUUGGCCUCUCCGCUACGCUACUUUGUUGGUGUAGACGAGGCGUUCGACAAAAUGCCGGAGAGACGGUAAGAUUGAAGUUCUUCUCCCGUCCACAUUGCUACCGUUCCUUCAGGUAGCUGUUCAAGGUCCAGGUUUUCAAGCGCAUCAACCCAGCAUCUUCCCUCUGCCGCCGAUAACGAUCCAUCACGCAGGACAUAGAUCCGACAAUGAUGUACGAACAUGGCAUAGGAAAGCAAGCGUCCCAAAAUCGUCAGCAUUGGGAAACAAGCUUAUCGCUGUUCCUCCCCCCUGAGGCUUUAGUCGGGGGGAAAAUACAUUUCAAAAAUUGUCUAGUUCAAUAUUUCCUUGCUGCCAAGGCAUCAUUCCACUUAGUGAAAGGAAUCUAUGUCGGAGAGGCCUAUAUGAUUCACUUCACACAAACAGGAGUUGAGGAGACAAGUCUCCAUUGCUUCCAGUGAGAAGGCAAGAAACUCCAUUCCCUCCGCUUAUAUGCUUAUAGGCGGCCAGAACUUGGGUACUGGUGGGGGACUUGCACCACCUUACCCCAAACCAAAUCGCCCCAGGAAGUCGUGAACAAGGCUCACGAGCUCCAUGAGCACAAUAGUUUCAGUGACUACGACCUCAUCAAUAACAACUGUGAGCAUUUAGCCUCGUUUUGCCAGACCGGCAUACGGGCAAGUGCACAGACAGCACUGGUCAGUGCUUGUCUGCAGAAGAUCAGUGAAGUCAGAAUGGUUCACAAAGUUUCUGCAUACGAAGGGUUCCAAUUACAUAACAUGAAUUGGGUGGCCACAUACAGCAGAGAGUAUAAGUUGGAUUGGUGUUGACGUGGUCUGCACCGUUAACAAAUGCACUCUAGCAGAUUUAGUCUCGUUCUUGGCACCAAGCCCCAGUUAGAAAGGAUACGCCACCUGGCCCUUCUACGUUAGCGCCAGCCCACUCAAUGGACUAUAACAAGCCAUUGGACUUGCCCAACAUAGAAAGAGGAAAACGCCAGAAAGAACAAGCAUCUUGGAAAUUCUAACAAAACCAGUUUGUGGAUUGCGUGAUCAGCUUGAACAAAAGUUUCUCCAGAAACACCUUGCGGCAUUCCCCCAAAGACAUUGUUUUAUAGAAACAAAUGCCAGAAGAGGAUUCCACUUGUGAUGAUGGCCAGCUUCAACCCAACUUGCAGCUCUCUCACUUACUCUCACUCGCUCACUUAUGUCACCACCGGACCAGAUCAAACGUACCCUUCAAAAAGCACUUUCCUCUCUUCCCAUCACUCCAUAUCCCGCCUCCUCCUCCUCCUCCUCCUCCUCCUCCUCCUCCAUUGCCAUUAUAUAAUCGGCUCCCGGCAGGCACACUCACCUUAGCAGGAGCAGUGCAGGCGGGUGGACGCUAAUUAAAGACCAGCUCAAGCACACCAGUCCAAGAGAGAGAAAAUGUUGGCCUACAUCAUCAUCACUGUUUUCGCAAUAUUGUUGCGACCCACAGGGGAUGUGGUAGGACAGGAAGAUCUCAAACCCGGAGAUCACAUCUAUACUUAUCGGCGAUAUGGAUUGUACACCCAUCAUGUAGUUGCAUAACUUCAGAGAUAAAGCCUCUCCUCCAACGGUCCUCUGCUACCGUCGCACGUUCCAACCGCUCCCCAUUGCCGGCCCCUCUCCUCAGCUGUCCAGAUGUUCGACGAAAUCCAGAGAGAGAACCUAACUGAGCUGUGCUUCAUUUCUUUCUUUCCGGUCACCAGUCCAUUUCAAGCUUCGCCGUUAUACUUCUCAGCAUUUCCAGCUUCGACCAUCUCCAUCUCCAGCGAUUCUCCAUCUUAGACUCUUCAUGUCGGCCUCUCCGCUUCCCUACUUUGUUGGUGUCGACGAGUUGUUUCGACAGAAUGCCAGAAAGACGGUAAGAUUGAAGUUCUCCUCCAGUCCACAGCGCCACCAUUCCUUCUGGUAGCUGUUCAAGGUCCAGGUUUUCAAGCGCAUCAACCCAGCAUCCCUCCCUCCCCCCAGGGGGUGGGUUGCCAACAAUGAUCCAUCACGCGGGAAUAUAGAUCCGACAACAAUGUUAUGAAUGCAGCAUGGCAAAGCAAGUGUUCAAAGUCGUCGUCGUCGUCAGGAAACAAGCUUGUUGCUGUUCCUCCCCCUGAGGCUUUAGCCGAGGGUAAAACACAUUUUGAAAAUUGUCUUGUUGGAUAUUUCCUUGCUGCCAAUGCAUCAUUCUACUCAGUGAAAGGAAUCUACAUCGGUGAGGGCUACGUGAUUCACUUAACAAGGACAGGAGUUGAGGAGACUCAUCUCCAUCGCUUCCAGCAAGAAGGCGGGAACCUCUAUUCCCUCCGCUUAUAUGCAUAUGGGCGGCCGCAACUUGGGUAUUGGCUGACGAGAUGGGGGACUUGCACCACCUUACCGCAAACCAAAUUGCCCCUGGAAGUCGUGAACAAGGCUCGCGAGCUUCAUGAGCACGAUAGUUUCGGCAAGUACGACCUCAUCAAUAACAACUGUGAGCAUUUCGCCUCAUUUUGCCGGACCGGCAUACGGGCAAGUGCACAGACAGCAUUGGUCAGUGCUUGUCUGCAGAAGAUCAGUGAAGUCAAAGGAUGGUUCAUGAAGCUUCUGCAGGUGAAAGGAAUGAAACUUCAGUUUUGUAUAUCCACUUUUGAACUGGAAUGGGCAGCGAGAGACAUGCGCAUGUGCACGGAGGAAGAACUGAGAUAAGAAAAUGUAUGUAAGCCGCAAAGCUAUGUUCAUUGUUAUUUGAUGUGCCUGGAAAUAUGUGAGGAUUUCUGUCUGUUGGUGCUCGGUCCUCCUAGUUAGACUUGCCAUAAGAAGGUAACAUCUAAUCCUGAAUGCAUUUCUUACAUUCAAAUCAAUUCACUUUUGUGCAUGUUGGAUACAUUCUUUUGGCAUUCGAGAAAUAAUUGGAGAAACAAAACAACAGUGAAAUCGCACUAGACUAUCGAAAAGAGUUUGUUCCACAAGUGCACAAUCUUUUCCUUCUCAGUGACCUCACCAUUACCAUUUACUUUAAAGCGGCGAUCUCUCUCUCUCUCUCUCUCUCUCUCUCUCUCCCUCCCUCCCUCCCUCCCCAGCAAGGUUCCAAUUAUAUAACACGAAUUGGGUGGCCACGUACAGCAGAGAGUUUAAGUUAGAUUGGUGUACUGUUGACGUGGUCUGCACUGUUAACAAAGACACUCUAGCAGAUUUACAAAGACGCUCUAGCAGAUUUACUUCUAUCCUUCCUGAAAUAGUUGGACAAAAAGAAAAGUUUGAAUCGGUGCAACUUGGUGGCUUUAUAAUAAAAAUAAAGUUAAAUUAAAAGGGAGAAACUGCCUCAAUCAAUGAACAAUCUCCUCACUUCACACACACAAAUACCAUCUGUAGCAUAGCGUAAGUGCCAACGAGUUCUAUAACAUUACUGAGAAGUCAUUCUGUUCAUAGCUGAUAGCCAAAGCCUCCAAAUUAAGUUCCAUCAAGUUUAGAAUUACAACUUUGAGCGCACUCUAUCUAUAUGAAGCUAUCAAGAAAUUGUCUGAAGUUCUUUUCUGCGAAGGGCAUAAAGAAGGUGCUCUCUUUUAUACUGCACAUGCUCAUUAUUGAUUACAACAGGAAUCUACGUUGGAGAAGGCUGCGUGAUUCACUUCACACGAAUAAGAGUUGACAAGACAAGUCUCAAUCGCUUGUAGCAAGAAGGCAAGAACCUCUAUUUCCUCCGCUUAUAUGCAUAUGGGUGGGCCACAACUUGGGUGUUGGCUGACAAGAUGGGGGACUUGCACCACCCAGGAAGUCAUGAACAAGGCUGGCAAGCUUCAUGAGCACGAUAGUUUCGGCAAGUACAACCUCAUCAAUAACAACUAUGAGCAUUUCACCUCGUUUUGCUGGUCCGGCAUAUGGGCAAGCGCACAGACAGCAUUGGUAAGUGCUUGUCUGCAGAAGAUCAGUGAAGUCAAAGAAUGGUUUAUGAAGUUUCUGUAGAUGAAGUAAGUUUGAGUGACUCAAAAAUUCCACGAAUCUUCCCUUCCCAAUCUGUCUUUUUACUAGCAAUUAUAUUCAUCCGUUUGAGAGUCAUUGUCUGUUGUCCAGCAGUAAAAGGAAUGAAACUUUAGUUUUUUAUAUCCUGCUUUGGACCGGAAUGGGCAGUGAGAGACAUGGACACUUGCGUGGAGGAAGAACUGAGAUAACCUGGCAGAAUGGUUAUUCCUAAGGACAAGGCGCAUCGUAAGAUAAGUCAAGCAGGAAGGUACUUUUUUUAGCACAAAGCCACAUAUAUGGAGUCCACUCCGAACCUAUUUCUCAAAUUUAAUAUUACAAUCCACAAAUCAAUGCGGGCUGCUAUUUCCUAUGAAAAUUUGAACAUGUAGUCAAUGCUUAUUUGAUCGAAUAGGCCAAAUGAGUUUCACCUGGGAAGGAUACUGAAUAGUGUGACCAAUGACUGCUCUGUUCAUACAAGCAGAAAAAGUCCCUGCUAGUGAACAAAUCGAUCAUGCAUGGUGCCUUCAAGACUUUGAUCGCAUCACAUGAAGUACGAACAACAUAAUAAAUAAAUUCAAGCAUUUCAUAUUC